GAUGAAGAACGUAGCGAAAUGCGAUACGUAAUGUGAAUUGCAGAAUUCAGUGAAUCAUCGAAUCUUUGAACGCAUAUUGCGCUCUCUGGUAUUCCGGAGAGCAUGCUUGUUUGAGUAUCAGUAAACACCUCAACUUCCAUAUCUUUUUUGAAAUGGGAGUUGGACUUGUGUGAUCCCAACGCUUUUCCUCACCGAAAAGUGGCGGGUUACUUGAAAUGCAGGUGCAGCUGGACUUUUCUCUGAGCUAUAAGCAUAUCUAUUUAGUCUGCCUAAAAAACAGAUUAUUACCUUUGCUGCAGCUAACAUAAAGGAGAUUAGUUCUUGUGCUGACUGAUGCAGGAUUCACAAAGACAGGCUUCGGCCGACUUUGUAAACUCGAUCUCAAAUCAAGUAAGACUACCCGCUGAACUUAAGCAUAUCAAUAAGCGGAGGA
rnacentral:misc_RNA from 1 species